rnacentral:rRNA from 1 species
AGUGAACGCUGGCGGUAGGCCUAACACAUGCAAGUCGAACGGCAGCACAGUAAGAGCUUGCUCUUACGGGUGGCGAGUGGCGGACGGGUGAGGAAUACAUCGGAAUCUACUUUUUCGUGGGGGAUAACGUAGGGAAACUUACGGUAAUACCGCAUACGACCUACGGGUGAAAGCAGGGGAUCUUCGGACCUUGCGCGAUUGAAUGAGCCGAUGUCGGAUUAGCUAGUUGGGGGGGUAAAGGCCCACCAAGGCGACGAUCCGUAGCUGGUCUGAGAGGAUGAUCAGCCACACUGGAACUGAGACACGGUCCAGACUCCUACGGGAGGCAGCAGUGGGGAAUAUUGGACAAUGGGCGCAAGCCUGAUCCAGCCAUGCCGCGUGUGUGAAGAAGGCCUUCGGGUUGUAAAGCCCUUUUGUUGGGAAAGAAAAGCAGCAGGUUAAUACCCCGCUGUUCUGACGGUACCAAAAGAAUAAGCACCGGCUAACUUCGUG